UACGAACUGUGCGAACGUUAUUCGGAAUCACUGGGCUUACAGGGUGCGUAGGCGGCCUUCCAAGUCAGGUGUGAAAUCCCACGGCUCAACCGUGGAACUGCGCUUGAAACUGGAUGGCUUGAGUCAGCUAGAGGUACACGGAACUUCCGGUGGAGCGGUGAUAUGUGUUGAUAUCGGAAGGAACACCAGAGGCGAAAGCGGUGUACUGGGGCUGUUCUGACGCUGAGGCACGAAAGCCAGGGUAGCGAACGGG
rnacentral:misc_RNA from 1 species